AGCUCGCCUGCAGCUUCUCCGUCCUCCAUCGACACAGUUGUUGAUUGACAGGAAGUCUGACCCAUCUUCUUCUCUCUCCUCCUCUUCCUCUCACAGCCCCUCCUCCUUCUUCUGAGUGGAUGAUCUUCGCAGCUGUAUUUGUGUCUGUGUUCCUGUUCCUGCUGGGUCUGGUCCUCACUUGGCUCCUCACCAGAAAGCGUUCACACAAACAUGUGUUCCUGGCUUGAAUGAAGACUGUCUGAACUUCAGAGUGUUGCGAGUUCCUCACAGCAGUGAUCCUGCUCCUGAUCCAGCGCUCCGCCCACCUGCCGUCCAGAUGUGGAGCGGGUCCGAUCCUGCCCCCGAGAGCCCAGGCGAGGGCUUUAGUUCAGGCUUAGCUAGACAGGUUCAGCAGAUGCAGGCUAGCAUUAGGUCAGGGUUAGUUAGGGUUAGUCGGUGAGGUCAGGCUGCAGCCCCUUCGGCCAGCCAAUCAGAUGUCGGAAAGACUCCUCACCUGUGUGUACCGGGUUAGCACACCGGGACUUCCUGUGUCAGCAGAGCCAGCCAGACACAUCGGAACAAAAACAAAAGUCUGGUUUGAAUCAAAACUUCUGAAACCGUGAUGAGGAGAUGAACCUGAUCAGGUUCUCGUGUUACUCCUCCAGAGUCAUAGAGGGUGUUCGGGGGGUUCAUGUUCCCCAACCAAACGAAACCCAGCAAUAGAAGGAAUGUGCAUGACGUC